rnacentral:lncRNA from 1 species
UAUUAAACAAAAUUCAAGAACAUAUACGUGAAUAUAAUAGCAAAACUAGUAUGUCAUUUAAAAAUGAACACUAUGAUGAAUUAUUUGAUUUUAUUAGUAUGCACAUGGCAAAACAUAACGACAUUUCCUGGGCUGAUUUUGAGUAUAAACGUGAUGAUGUCGAAGUAAAUGCUACACUGAAAUAUAUGGAACAGAAAGAAAAUGCAAAAACGAGGAGUAGCAAAAAAAAAGGGGGGAAGUUAGAUGGAGAUGGAGACAAAAGUGAUGGAGAUGGAGACAAAAGCGAUGGAGGUAGAGGCGAAAGUGGUGGAGGUAGAGGCGAAAGUGGUGGAGGUAGAGGCGAAAGUGAUGAAGGUAGAGGCGAAAGUGAUGAAGGUAGAGGCGAAAGUGAUGAAGGACUUAUGUAUAAAAAAGGAAGUGGUAAAAAUCGUAAGAAUAUAUUAUACAGCAAUGGUGAUGAUGAUAGUGAUAGUGGUAGUGGUAGUGGUAGUAGCUACAAAAAUGGAAAUAAGUUUAAUAAAAAAUCAAAUGGUAGAAAAUGUAAUAGUGAUAAUUCAGAUGCAGAGCAAAGUGACGAUUAUUUUGACAAGGGGGAUCAAGAAUCGGGUUCAGAUAAAGAAAGUAGCAAUUCUGGAUCGGAAGAAGAACAAGAAUAUGAAGCUUCUGACGAUGGAGUUGGUGAUGGAGUUGGCGAUGGAGUUGACGAUGGAGUUGACGAUGGAGUUGACGAUGGAGUUGACGAUGGAGUUGAUGCAUAUGAUGACACAGCUGAAGAUGCAACUGAUUAUGAAGAAAAUAAGGAUGACACGAUAAAGAGUGAUAAUAAAGAAGAGGAUAGUGGAACAGAACAUGAGUCGGUAAAUGAUGAGUCAGACACAAUUGGACUAAAAAAAAGGAGCGAUGACAAUAUACGAUCAAAAGGAUGUGACAAGAACAAAUGUAGUAAUAGUAGCACUACUAGUGGUAGUGAUACGAACGAAAGUGGAACUAGUUAUACCCAAACAGGAACAUAUGCAAACAAACAAUAUACUAAUAAAGAUACUAUAAUAAUGAUACGGGAUACAAAUCCAAACACAGACAUAGACAUAGAUACAGACACAAACAUAGACACAAACAUAGACACAAACACAGACACAAACACAAACACAGACACAAACACAGACACAAACAACAAUGACUCAUUUACUGAUGGAAAUAAAGAUUUUAGCAGUAUUUUAAAAUCUGAUAAAUCGUUCUCUUCUGAAGGGAAUGAUUAUAUGUUAUACAACAUGUUGUUAAGUAGUGAAGAUUCAGAAAAAUAUAAUAAUAUGAAAGAGAAAAAAAAAACUAUUAUAGAAGUUAAUUCUGUUAAACAAAAUAGACAUUUAAACACUCACUUUAGUGAUGAUAUAAGAUAUACGUCGAUUCAUUCUGGCUAUAGUAUGGCAGAUUCCAGUGUAUCUACUUCUUGUGCCGAUUCACCGGUAGCUAGUUUGUGCAGCAAACAAAACUUAACCCAUGGAGAACAUAUAAGGGGCAGUUGCACUAUAAACAAUAGCAAUAGCAAUAGUAAUAGUAAUACCAAUAGUAAUACCAAUAGUAAUACCAAUAGUAAUACCAAUAACAAUAAAACUAGCAAUAAAAAUAGCAAUAAAAAUAGCAAUAAAAAUAGCAAUAAAAAUAGCAAUAAAAAUAGCAAUAACAAUAACAAUAGCAAUAAAAAUAGCAAUAAAAAUAGCAAUAACAAUAACACUAACAAUAACAAUAACAACCAUGAUGCUGAUAAUACUAAUAUAAAUGAUACUAUUGAUAAUGACCAUAUGGACAGUAAUAUGCCACAUAAAAAAACGUGUGAUAUACCAUUAGUGCUAAACGAAGAAGAAAAAAUGAUUAACAAUAAAUUAAAAAAGAUAAAAUAUGAUUAUAAAAAUAAUAUAAAUUUGGAUGAGUGGGUUGAUGAAAGUGAUGAUAGUUCCAAUAAAAAAAAUAAAGAAAAUACAAGAUGCGAAGAGUUAGAAAAAUGUAACAUAAAUAAGAAUGAACAGGCAUAUGUCAAACAGAUUUUAAAUAAGAUAAAAAGUAGUUUAUUACGUUUUGUUAAAAGUAUAAAAUUCUGUAACUUAACAUGGGUUUUAAAAUUUGUAAUAGCAUGGGAAAUUGAUUUUUAUCCUUUUUCAAUUGAUUUUUUGAGUAAUGUAAAAAAUCAAUUACUAAAAGAAACAUUAUUUAAACUGAAAAACAUAAAUAAUCCUAAAAUAUUAAAAGGUCAAGACAUAACACAUAGUGGUUUAGAAUAUGAAUUACAAAUAGAAGGAAAAAAUAUUCAUGAAAUUUUUCAAAUUAAAGAUAAAUAUAUUGAUAAAACGAAGUUAUACUGUAAUGACAUUUAUACAAUUGUUAAAACGUAUGGAAUUGAAGCGGGUAGGUUUUGUAUAAUUAAAGAAUUGAAAAAGGUAUUUGAAGCCUAUGGAAUUACAGUGGAUUUUAGGCACUUGUCGUUUAUUAGUGAUUUUAUGACUCAUACAGGUAAAGCGAUCAAAAAAAAAAAAAAAAAAAAAAAAAAGGGAAAGUGGCACAUUCUGGCUAUAUAGCCACUUAUUUAUAUAGCCACCUAUAUAUAUAUAUAUAUAUAUAUAUAUAUGUAUACAUAUAUAGCUAUCGAGUUGGUCAUUUUUUUAUUUAUUAUUACUGUUGUUUUCCACACUUUUUUCCACACUUUUUUCCACACCUUUUUUCUACAAUUUUUUAGGCGAUUUAAAACCCUUCAGUAGGCACUCCAUGAAUUACAGUCGUAACAUUUUUCAUAAAAUGAGUUUUGAGUGCGCAACAAAAAAUAUGAUUCAGGGUUGUACAUACAAGUCAAAAGGUAACCGAAAAGAAAGACAAACAAAGCUCAUGUGUUUGUUCGUGCAUACACACGCACAUACAUCUGUAUAUACAUAUAUAUAUAUAUAUAUAUAUAUAUGUAUGUACGAACUUAUCAUUCAUUACAUUUUACAUUUUACAUUUUACAUUUUACAUUUUACAUUUUACAUUUUACAUUUUGCAUUUUACCUUUUACAUUUUGCAUUUUACCUUUUACAUUUUGCAUUUUACCUUUUACAUUUUGCAUUUUACCUUUUACAUUUUUUUUUUUUUUUUUUUUUUUUUUUGUAGAUUACUUAUCUACACCUUCGAGCAGCUUAUUUUUCGGGAAGCACAUCAAAGUGGGAACGAAUUUGUCUGACAUUGUGAUGUGUUUUGGAGGCAAUGUAUGAUGAUAAUAAAGAUUUUAUCAUGGUACA